CACGUAGGGCGCAAGCGUUGUCCGGAAUUAUUGGGCGUAAAGAGCUCGUAGGCGGUCUGUUGCGUCCGCUGUGAAAACUCGGGGCUUAACCCCGAGCCUGCAGUGGAUACGGGCAGACUAGAGGUAGGUAGGGGAGAAUGGAAUUCCCGGUGUAGCGAUGAAAUGCGCAGAUAUCGGGAGGAACACCGGUGGCGAAGGCGGUUCUCUGGGCCUUACCUGACGCCGAGGAGCGAAAGCGUGGGGAGCGAACAGG
rnacentral:rRNA from 1 species